AGUUCCCUCAGUAGUCUUGUACUGAUCGUGUGCUCCUGAGAUUCAAUUUUGAAAAUAAACUUAAAAGAAAGAAAAAAUGGCAGAUAAUAACGAUCGCAUCGUUUUUCCCGACGAAGUUGAAGCUGUUAAGGACGCCGCUGCCAAAUCCAAUGUUGUCCAGGGCGGUGACAGCAACUCCAUUGAGGCAAACGCAUCUACUGCGGGGAACUCCCAAAUUGAAUUAAGGAACGUCAUCACUGCACCACCGAAUUGUCCUCCCGGUUACAAAAUGGGAAAAGACGGCGUAUGUCGCGAAGUUUUUGACUAAAGUUAACUAGAAUUAAUGUCUUGCCAUAGUUUAAAAUCUACUUUACACUAAGAUUUUGUUAAUAUGUAGUUAAGUUUUUUUU